rnacentral:rRNA from 1 species
CACGUAGGCGGACUCUUAAGUCGGGGUGAAAUCCUGGAGCUCAACUCCAGAACUGCCUUCGAUACUGAGAGCCUUGAGUCCGGGAGAGGUGAGUGGAACUGCGAGUGUAGAGGUGAAAUUCGUAGAUAUUCGCAAGAACACCAGUGGCGAAGGCGGCUCACUGGCCCGGUACUGACGCUGAGGUGCGAAAGCGUGGGGAGCAAACAG